rnacentral:rRNA from 1 species
GACGAACGCUGGCGGCGUGCUUAACACAUGCAAGUCGAACGGAAAGGCCCUGCUUUUGUGGGGUGCUCGAGUGGCGAACGGGUGAGUAACACGUGAGUAACCUGCCCUUGACUUUGGGAUAACUUCAGGAAACUGGGGCUAAUACCGGAUAGGAGCUCCUGCUGCAUGGUGGGGGUUGGAAAGUUUCGGCGGUUGGGGAUGGACUCGCGGCUUAUCAGCUUGUUGGUGGGGUAGUGGCUUACCAAGGCUUUGACGGGUAGCCGGCCUGAGAGGGUGACCGGCCACAGUGGGACUGAGAUACGGCCCAGAAUCCUACGGGAGGCAGCAGUGGGGAAUAUUGCACAAUGGGCGGAAGCCUGAUGCAGCAACGCCGCGUGCGGGAUGACGGCCUUCGGGUUGUAAACCGCUUUCGCCUGUGACGAAGCGUGAGUGACGGUAAUGGGUAAAGAAGCACCGGCUAACUACGUG